CAAAUGAUUCUAAGGUUCUGUUUGUUAUCCAAGUUAUCAUUCCAUAACCUUUGUCAGAAUGUUCUCUCUUAUUUAUGACUGAAAUCCUGCAAUAGAAACCAAAACCUAUAUGCCUCUAUUACUAUACCAAAUGAAGGGCUUUGGAAAAAAGCCACACUUUGAGAAUGCUCAGGAAGAAUUAGCAAAACUGAUCCUGCCAUAAAACAAUACAACCCAAAGAGUUCUUUCCUGAGACUAAAAUUAUUUGGCUAGGAGGAGGGAAGGAUGGUGAAGAAUACAGUUUAGGAAGUGAUCUAGCUGAGAAAGGGUUGCAGUUGGAUUAGAGUCAAAAAUUCCAGAGCAGCAGGCCCAAGGAAGAAUAACAGUAUGCAGAAAUGAGGCAUUUGGCUGCUUAAGAAAUCAAGAGGGGGGCACACAAACAGGGUGUAGUGAAGGCAUCAUAAUGGUAAUCACUUAUCUCCACCAAACUGUGACAAAACUGAAUGAGGGAUCUGCUUCAGAAAGCUACAGCAGAGGCAUCCGUCAUUAUUACUGUGAAGACAUUCAUGCUUGGAGGUGAAGCAAUUGUCUCAUGAAG
rnacentral:lncRNA from 1 species